UACGUAGGGGGCUAGCGUUGUCCGGAAUCAUUGGGCGUAAAGCGCGCGUAGGCGGCCACUUAAGUCGGAUGUGAAAGCCCCUGGCUCAACUGGGGGAAGUGCACCCGAAACUGAAUGGCUUGAAUGCAAAAGAGGGUCGCGGAAUUCCCGGUGUAGAGGUGAAAUUCGUAGAUAUCGGGAGGAACACCGGUGGCGAAGGCGGCGACCUGGGUUGACAUUGACGCUGAGGCGCGAAAGCGUGGGGAGCAAACAGG
rnacentral:rRNA from 1 species